AAGGAGUCUAACAUCUACGCGAGUAUUGUGGUGUAAAACCCAUACUCCGAAUUAAAGGGAACUGAUGUCAGGCCCAUUCAGCAGCAUCGACCGACUUUACAUACCACUUAAGAUUUGAGUGAGAGCAUAGCUGUUGGGACCCGAAAGAUGGUGAACUAUGCCUGAAUAGGGUGAAGCCAGAGGAAACUCUGAUGGAGGCUCGUAGCGAUACUGACGUGCAAAUCGAUCGUCAAACUUGGGUAUAGGGGCGAAAGACUAAUCGAACCAUCUAGUAGCUGGUUCCUGC
rnacentral:misc_RNA from 1 species